ACACUGACGUCGCGACGCAUAUCAAUAAGCGGAGGAAAAGAAACUAACAAGGAUUCCCCUAGUAACGGCGAGUGAAGCGGGAAGAGCUCAAAUUUGAAAUCUUAAAGGGUUUCCCUUUACGAAUUGUAGCUUAAAGAAGUGUUUUCUGUUGAGGUUUUGGUAAAAGUUCUUUGGAAUAGGACAUCAUAGAGGGUGAGAAUCCCGUAUUUGACCUUUACUUUCAACUUUGUGGUACACUUUCAAAGAGUCGGAUUGUUUGGGAAUGCAGUCCAAAAUGGGUGGUAAAUUUCAUCUAAAGCUAAAUAUUGGCGAGAGACCGAUAGCGAACAAGUACCGUGAGGGAAAGAUGAAAAGAACUUUGAAAAGAGAGUUAAACGGUACGUGAAAUUGUCAAAAGGGAAGCGUUUGACACCAGUGUUGUUUUUCUGAAAAUCAAUUAAAGAACUGUUUAUGCUAAGUUGUUUAGACUUUAUCAGCUAACUGUUUAGUUUUGAGCUUUUCUUUAAUGCACUUUUCAGUUAACAAGUCAACAUCAAUCUCUUUUGCUGUAAAAAAGCUUGAGGAAGGUGGCUUGAGAUUCGUCUUAAGUGUUUAUAGCCUCUUGCCUAUGCAGUCGGAGAGAUUGAGGUCUGCAGCGUAGAUCCUUCGGGGCUAAAUGCAUUUGUGCUAAGUUAUAGCAUUUUAUAGACAACUUGUUGACUAUGAUUUGUCUUGUAGCUUACUCGCUUAUGUUAUUUUACCUACGCUUAGGAUGUUGAUGUGAUACUGCGAGCA
rnacentral:rRNA from 1 species